AAGACUUUAGCUUAAUUAAGUGUUUGAGUUGCAAUCAAAAGAUGUGGGAUAGAAUCCCGCAGGUCUUA
rnacentral:tRNA from 1 species